GUCGUACCGACUUUGAAUUAAACUUGGAAAAUAAUUUAGAACUCAGAACUUUGUAUCCUGGCAGCGGUUAUUAGGAAUGGGCAGGCUCAUCUCAUUGAUUGUGCUGUGAGAAGGCUCUUCAGCUUCAUAUGGAGCAAAAAGGAACCAGCUCUUGAUUUCCUAGAAUCAGCUUUAUUCUCUUCACAUCUUGGCAGCUCUCUUGCUUUACAAUAUCUAGUUCCAACAAGAAAAACUUUAAAAAUGCUUCAUUUAGUUUUGUCAGAGAUCAUAACAUGAAAAUGAACAUUUAAUUAAAUAAAAGUAUCUAGAUCCAAAACA
rnacentral:lncRNA from 1 species